AGCAGCCGCGGUAAUUCCAGCUCCAAUAGCGUAUAUUAAAGUUGUUGCAGUUAAAAAGCUCGUAGUUGAAUUUCGGGAUCAAGGAAUCGGUCAUGCCUCGGUAUGUAAUGGUUUUAUUGGUUCUCACCUUCUAAAGAACCAUGAUGUCAUUCAUUUGAUGUUAUGGGGAAUUAGGACUGUUACCUUAGAAAAAUUAGAGUGUUUAAAGCAAGCUUACGCUUGAAUACAUUAGCAUGGAAUAAUGAAAUAGGACAUCCGAUUCUAUUUUGUUGGUUUCUAGGAUCGAUGUAAUGAUUAAUAGGGAUAGUUGGGGGCAUUAGUAUUCAAUUGUCAGAGGUGAAAUUCUUGGAUUUAUUGAAGACUAACUACUGCGAAAGCAUUUGCCAAGGAUGUUUCAUUAAUCAAGAACGAAAGUUAGGGGAUCGAAGACGAUCAGAUACCGUCGUAGUCUUAACCAAUAAACUAUGCCGACUAGGGAUCGGAUGUAUUGUUUUAUUUUUAGUGUACUUC
rnacentral:misc_RNA from 1 species